CCAUCAGUCAGAGAUCUUCACUAACUGUAAUAAUGGAACAUAGCAUCACUAUUUGGCGUCCUGCAAUAUUGCAAAGCAGUGGGAUCCACUAUGCAGCCUGUCCCUCAACUCAGGAGCACAGUGCCAGGGAGGCACACAGCAGUACUGAACUCCAUGCCGCAACAGAUUGCUGAGACGGGCGACGGCGCAGAAAUGACAUAAAACAUGACAAAGCACGCUGUCCUUGACAGGCAAGCAGGGGGAAAAAAAAAUAAAAAACCCAACAAAUUUCUA